CCUACGGGAGGCAGCAGUGAGGAAUAUUGGUCAAUGGACGAGAGUCUGAACCAGCCAAGUAGCGUGAAGGAUGACUGCCCUACGGGUUGUAAACUUCUUUUAUAUGGGAAUAAAAUGAGCCACGUGUGGGAUUUUGUAUGUACCAUAUGAAUAAGGAUCGGCUAACUCCGUGCCAGCAGCCGCGGUAAUACGGAGGAUCCGAGCGUUAUCCGGAUUUAUUGGGUUUAAAGGGAGCGUAGGUGGAUUGUUAAGUCAGUUGUGAAAGUUUGCGGCUCAACCGUAAAAUUGCAGUUGAAACUGGCAGUCUUGAGUACAGUAGAGGUGGGCGGAAUUCGUGGUGUAGCGGUGAAAUGCUUAGAUAUCACGAAGAACUCCGAUUGCGAAGGCAGUUCACUGGACUGCAACUGACACUGAGGCUCGAAAGUGUGGGUAUCAAACAGGAUUAGAUACCCUUGUAGUC
rnacentral:rRNA from 1 species